rnacentral:rRNA from 1 species
UAAUUGACCUCGGAUCAGGUAGGGAUACCCGCUGAACUUAAGCAUAUCAAUAAGCGGAGGAAAAGAAACCAACAGGGAUUGCCUCAGUAACGGCGAGUGAAGCGGCAACAGCUCAAAUA